rnacentral:rRNA from 1 species
GUCGAGAAUCUUUCACAAUGGGGGCAACCCUGAUGGAGCGACGCCGCGUGGAGGAUAAGGUCUUCGGAUUGUAAACUCCUGUCAUGCGUGAACAAGGUUGCUUGGUUAAUACCUGGGCAAAUUGAUGGUAACGCAAGAGGAAGAGACGGCUAACUCUGUGCCAGCAGCCGCGGUAAUACAGAGGUCUCAAGCGUUGUUCGGAAUCACUGGGCGUAAAGGGUGCGUAGGUGGCGUGGUAAGUCAGAUGUAAAAGCCCAGGGCUCAACCUCGGAACUGCAUCCGAUACUGCCAUGCUAGAGUACUGGAGAGGUGACUAGAAUUCUCGGUGUAGCAGUGAAAUGCGUAGAUAUCGAGAGGAAUACCAAAGGCGUAGGCAGGUCACUGGACAGUUACUGACACUGAGGCACGAAGGCCAGGGGAGCGAACGGGAUUAGAAACCCCUGUAGUCC